rnacentral:rRNA from 1 species
AUUGAACGCUGGCGGAAUGCUUUACGCAUGCAAGUCGAACGGCAGCACGGGGCAACCUGGUGGCGAGUGGCGAACGGGUGAGUAAUACAUCGGAACGUGCCCAAUCGUGGGGGAUAACGUAGCGGAAGUUACGCUAAUACCGCAUACGAUCUACGGAUGAAAGCGGGGGAUCGCAAGACCUCGCGCGAUUGGAGCGGCCGAUGUCAGAUUAGGUAGUUGGUGGGGUAAAGGCUCACCAAGCCGACGAUCUGUAGCUGGUCUGAGAGGACGACCAGCCACACUGGGACUGAGACACGGCCCAGACUCCUACGGGAGGCAGCAGUGGGGAAUUUUGGACAAUGGGCGCAAGCCUGAUCCAGCCAUUCCGCGUGCAGGAUGAAGGUCUUCGGAUUGUAAACUGCUUUUGUCUGGGGCGAAACCUUCAGCGUUAACACCGCUGAAGCUGACGGUACCAGACGAAUAAGCCACGGCCAACUCUGUGCCAGCAGCC